AGUAGCACUUCCACUGGGGGUCAAGAGGGAUCAUAUCAGCCUGUUAACCAGUUAGAUUAACAUUACACGAAACUAUUUCAGUCUUACCACUUUCUUUUUUAUUGGCGUAACUUUGAAAUACAGAAAAUCAGCAGCAACUGUUUAAGAUCCUCUUCCAUGCAACUCUUGAAGUCUGUUGUUUUCUCUUUUUAUACAUAACACCAUUAAAGUCAUAUCCAGUUACUGUUUUCUUCCAUUUGGUUGAUGCCUCUUCUAUUUAUCUCCUUGAGUAUUUUAACAUACUUUAUAUCGCGAACCUCUGGGCUGUUUCCCCACUUCUUGAACUCUUCUGUAAAACUGAUCAUAUAUUCUCUCUUAUCUAUCCUCCUACAUCUCCACAACCUCUUUACCUGUAUCCCCCCGCCUUCUUUUCCGAUUUCAGCCCCACACUUACCCCCCAUGUCUCCAUCAUCCAUCUCACGCCGCAGCACAACAAGAGGAGAAAUGUUACAGCUGAAUAAAACAUCACUAGACUUCGGGAGGAGGUUGUGAGAAGCCUUGACCUGCAGGCGUAAUGCUUUAGCUCAACGUUGCAGCAUUUAUUAUUUAACAGCUCAGAGAUCUUUUGGCUAAACCCUCUGCAUGACUGCUGCAACUCAGCGAGAGAACUUAAGAAAUAAAUGCGAUGAGUGCUGUUACAAAAGGAGACCGCUUUUUCAAUCUGCAAAGAAGACAAACUUCACUUUUUUCACUCUUGAGUCUUAAUUUUACACUGUGGCUUUUGAUGUUGGACUACAGCUUACUUUAUCUUUGAUUGAUGCUGACAGGGUAAAGCUCCGGCCUUCCUGUUGUCUGAGUAUGAGGCAUGUGAUAGGAUAUGGAAGAACACCGGCAGAACUACUGAUCCUAGCUCAGGGAUGCCCAAAUAUGCCAACUAUCCAUAUGUGCUGGACAACCUUAACAAAAUGCAUCCAUAUGAGUGUGAAAGAAGAUACAAGAGGAAAGUACCAGAGCUCCAAUGAAAAGCUAAUUUGUAAUAAUUUUAGCAGGUUUUAGCUUGUCCCUCACUCCCAUUUUCAGGUCAACUUCUUAUAUCAGUCGAACAAGAGGACAACAACCAGAUGGAUUGAUUUUAAUGCAUCUUUUAAAGGCAGUAUACCAGUUUUAGUGGGUUUGAGGUCAGGACUUUUGGGAGGGUCACUUCAAAUUUUUAUUUAAGUAUUUAAAUAAAUUUUAACUUUAUUAUUGGGGGAACUGAUGGCCUAGUGAUCUAAAGACGUCUCACAUACAGAGCUUGUAGUCCUGAUUGCACCAGUACCUGGUUUGACUCUUGGCCCCAAACCUUUGCUGCACGUUGUUAAAUUUUUAAACAUAUUCAUUGUUCGUAAGUUAUUGCCUUAAUCUCUUCUCAAAUUUUUUUUUAUUAUGGAGUGUAGUGCUGACUCUGUGGCCAAGUCGCCCUUGUGAAGGAGAUCCUGAUCUCAAUGGGACUUAUCUGGUCAAAUAAAGGUUGAAUAAAUAAAAAAAAUUCUUCCCCCACUCUCUACACCCCAGAUUUCCUGUAUAAACACAUUUAUGCUCAAAAAUCUUAACUUAAAAAAAAAAACAGCUUUUGUUUAAUUUUUUAAUUUUGUUUUUUAUUUAUUUAUUUUUACACAUUUUCAUUGAAAUUUUGAAUUUUAAUUUUUGCUCAAUUUUGUAGCCCUUCUUGUGCAAAAUGAGCUCAUUUUAAGAUUGUCCAACCCCGAACAUUGAUGCUAGUGUAAGCAAAGAGACUUUUCAGCUUUUCAGCUUUUCAGCUGCUAUGUUUUAGCACUGAUUUUGGACACAACACAUUGGCCCAUGCACAGAUCAGGUUAUCAGGUCUACGUUGUAUGAAUCAAUUUGGCUUUCAGUUUGGUUGUAUUGGCUAAACUUUGCACUGCAGGCUUUAGGGAGCUGACCCUGUCUGCAGAAUUUGAUGGCCUAUCUUCUGUAAAGGCUCUUUGUCUGAUUGAUAAAUGAAGGGGCUGAGCUGCAGGUAACACUCUUACUAUUAACUUCAGCUUCACUUCAAAAAACAAACAAACUGCAUAUGUCUCUUUAACUUGAUGCCCGCGUUAGAAGUAGAUUGCAGUAUCAAAAGUCUCAUAAAGAGGCUCUGACUUCAGUAGUUCCAAACCAAUUUGCAAAUAUCACCUGUACGCUAAACUGCAAAUGUUGGCAUGUUAACGUGUUUGACACUAAUGCUAAACGUAGUGAAUAUUACUUAAGUCGAUAGGUAAGCAUUGUAACUAUUGGCAAGUUAGCAUUCUUAUGUCAGUGUUUAGCUCAGUCUUAUAUAUUGAUAAUGUUUAGGCUCUUCUAUCUUGUAGACGUACUUUUUAUUGGGAUUACUCGUAGAUAACAUAUUUGGCUGCAGCCAGCUGUGUCUUAGUCAGGUGUGACAGUUUGAAUUCUCACUCAGACUUUGGCUGAAAGUUUAUCGUCUUACAGUUUGUAUAAACUGAUGAUCUUUAUGCACUUAAUGACAUUUGUGGCCUGAUAUGAUGCCUGAAAAAACAGCUGUCAACUGUAAGGCAGAUUAAGUGACAGGAGGGUGAGUCACAUUUCAGGACACUCUGUUAGUUGUUUGUAUGAGCAUUUUGUCAUAUUUUAUAAGGGAAAAAAACACAAACUAGACUCAUUUGUCCUGUUUUGUGGCAGUCACCCUGUCCUGGACAAGUGCAUGUACACUUUGACCAAUUCCUACAGAAACUUAAAUGAAGUCCACACAUCAGCGUUUACUAAAUGCAGGGGCAUGUCCUGCCGAGACAGCUACAACAUGUUCCCAAUCAUCACCUGUCUAAUCUUAGCACACAAGCUUGAUGGGAUUGGUUAUUUUUGCACACACUCUGAAUAUGUAUGUCCUAAUUUGGGCUAUUUUUCUCUCAUGUUUUCAAACUGGGGUUAUUUAUAGUGACUAGACACACUGUACCCUCACACAGCCGGCCUCUCUCAGGCAUGCGACCAUCACACGCACUUGCACUCUGUCAAGUCAAUGACAUUACAUUACAACAAUUCCAGCUUGCGUAAGUUUGAAGACAAAAUUUGUUUGUUGACUCCCAGACCCCUCGCUGAACUUUUACACUCAUCUGACUUCCCUGAUCCCCAGCUUCCCUUUUCCUUUUCUUGUGAGAACAUAAACAAACACUGUUUUUAUUAUUGUCAUCCUGGGAAGACAAGACACAGUGUGGCCCCCUGGUUCCUCCUGUUCUCAAACAUGCACAGUGCUGGCCCCCAGGGUCAGAGAGCAGCUCUGUGGUCACUCAGGCCUGAGUCACAGGAUGUUGAAGUAGCACGCCUCAGGGCUGUAGCUUGAAAUAGGACUUGGGAAGAGCGAAUAGUUAAAGACUUGAUGCCUGGCUCCCCUGUUCCUGUUCCUCUGGGACGGAUAAGAACAGGCCACACACAAACACACCCUCAAACCUCUCUGUCAAACAACUGACAAGAGCUUGGGGCCAGUACUUCAACUUCAUUCCACAGGGUCAAAAACAAUCGUAAAAGGCAGGCGGGAGAGGAAACUAAUCAAGGAUUCUGGCAGUUUGUUUGGCAGCCAUGUUGUAACUAAUUUAGUUUGGGGAAAAGACACUUCAUGAAGGGAAACAACUUUGCAGACACUGAGCCAGGUUACCAUCAAGAGUGGUAAUUAUACUUCUCUGCAAAUGAUGGUGUCAUGAACACUGUAAUCGGUCUUUGAUCCUUAGGAAGAAGUACUUCUCACCUCGAAUGUAGUGUUUGCAUCUUCCAGGAUGGGUGGUGUGCGUCUGGACCUGUUUCCUUUGUAAACACUAAUACAAUGCUGCUGCAUUUUCCCUGCUUCUCAGGAAGUAAUUAAGUGUUUCCCCUUUCCCCUAUUUGGUCUCAGUAUGCAGAGAGAACAUAAAUCGUACUUCUUGACCUGUAGAAGCCUCUUAAGUAAAUGAUCAUAAAAAUAUAAAUGUUUUAAUUUAAAUUUUCAGGUCUAUUUGGAUUAUCUCUGCAAUCCAUUAUAUUCACAGUAUAAUGUUAUGAGUAUACAAACAUUUGAAUUGCCUGGCUGCAUUUUUAUAGAUGAUCAUCUUUAAUCCACCCAUUUCAAAACAAUUUCCUGCUUGGUUCAAAGGUCAGGAAAACAUCUUAAUGAAAUUACUGGUGUACAGUUAAUGCAUGUGUCCAGUACAGACAGGGCCGGAUUAACCAUGAGGCAUAGUGAGGCUGAAGCCUCAGGGCGUUUGGCUAUGGGGGGCCACUCAGCCCGAGCAGAAGCCGCUAUGACGCUGGUGAGCUGCGCCUGGUGUGAGGAGGAUUAGGCUGUAUUGGGACAGAGGAAAAAGUGCCUAGAAAGUGAAUCUCGUUCCGCUUCAGUGGGGCAACAUAAACUGUGAUUCAUAAAACAGCUCUAUUGAUAGUUAGUACUAAAUAAAAUUUCUACUCAUGCCAUCCCGUCGAUUUUUAGUAAUCAGUGUUUCGGUGUCGAACUAUUUCCUUUCUGCGGCGCAGUGAUACUUGCACACGCGCAAUCGAAUAUGCAAAGAGGUGAAGCGAUUUUUGUCACGUGGACCAAUAGGAGCCGAGUCUCGUUGCCAUAGUAUCAGAAAUACACAAACAUGGCGACGAGCGCAUCUAGCAGCGAGACAAGCGAAGAGGAAGAAAUUAAAAGGAAAAAAAGAAAACAGCCUUCAAAAGUGCAUCAAAAAGGAACGAAAAAGAUGCUAUAUGCAUCUAUCAUCUGUCCAGAGUGAAGACGUUCUCCACUUUACAAGGCCACGUUGGGAAACUUACAGAACUAGUAUUAGAAAGUGGCUUUCUCUACAGGGUGAGACAAAAGACCAGCCAGAAAUGUACUUGUGAGUAACACAAAAAACGAUUAUAUGGUGCUGCUAUUUUUGCUUGUAGAAACUGCUAUGUUGAUUCUGACAAGACAAAAUCUUUCUCAGAUGUCAUAAAUACAUCUACCUAACAUCUGAAACAGUUAUUGGUGCCUUAGUAUACGCAUAAGUGAAUUCAGAUUAUGAAAUGUAGCAAAUUUCUUGAAGAAAACAUCUCAACUCAAGUGAUUUGCACCCAGCACAAUGAAAUAUAUACAGUAAAUUUAGCUAAAAGCUUAUGUUCCAUACAUAAAAAUGACACAACCUACUGUGUAAUAAAAGCAAUGAAAUAUAAACAGCACAUCAUGGCCAUAAAUGGCUGAAAGUCAGUCAAAUUGCUACCACGCUCCCCAAAAUUGGAAUAAUGGAAAAAUGUAACAAGACAAAAAUAAAUGCACAAAAGGUCUGAAUUAAUUCAAAAUAUGGUAUAAAACAUUUAUUCAAGUACCACAGUGUCAAAACCUCUGACAUUUAUCAGUCCCUACAGAAUAUGAAAAGAAAGAUCAAAACACAAAUGCAGACAAAUGUAGAACAAAUAUAAAAUAAUAAAAUUCUCAAAUCUCAGUGUAGCAAUCCUUUAAACAAAACAAAUUGUAUAACCAUAACAGGCCUUCAUAUCAUGCCUUGCACUUUUAUUUAUAAUGCUUGCUAUAUACUUAUAAUUUAAAAUGCCUGAGGUUUUCUACAGUAAAAAAGUGAACUGUACACCAGCCUCUGUGCUUUCCUUGAAGACUUUUUUCACUACCUCUUGUUGAAUUGAGUUCAGACACAGUUGUAUUAACCCAGUGGUUUGGCUAGAGGUGGUGGCUAGUGGAACCGUUAAAUAACCACCCAUAACUGCAGUAAUUUCCACAAAAUGACCAAUAAAAACUGCCAUUUUUUUCCGCGCGCGGGACAGAGGGGGGCCAUUAGGUUUGCUUAGCCUCAGGGGCCACAGAAGGUUUAAUCCGGGCCUGAGUACAGAUCUGAUCUUGAGUGUAGUCUGUGCACAUCAAUUCAAACUGCUACAACUUGAGAUGUGUUUUAAUGCAUUGAUAUGAGGCCAAAAUGACAUGAAAAAGUGUCAACAAUUAAAAAGAUAUAUAAUUUUAUAUGCAAUAACAAACUGUGAGUAUUUUAAUGUUACAACAUCAUACGGCAGACGCUGUUGUCCAGAGUGAUGUACAUUUAAGAGCAAAAACAACACAAACAGGAUCUCUACAGGUGGAAACAUCAAUAAGUCCCAAAAACUCCUGAAAGUGCACUCGGCCAUAGUGCUGUCAAGCACUAAAUAAGACAAUGCAGUUUUUUUCAUUAUUUUUUGUAAUGUAUAACCACCAUCCAUCAACCCACCAAAGUGAAUCCCUAACCAAAGGAAGUCUUAAUGACCCUGUCAUCAUUACCAUCCAUCAUCAUUAUCAUCUAUUUUCAUCAUCAUUGUUAUCACCAUUAUCAUUAUCAGGUGCACCAAGUUCAGAAACAAUCACAAAGAGCUGAGCAGAGAGGAGGACAUUUGUGUCAGACAACAGAGGAGAAGAGCUAAGCCUAAGUGCAAAAUAAAGGAGCUUUAGCUUUUUCUUGAAGUAGAGAGGGACUUGGCGGAUCUGAUAGAGUUUGGCAAUUCAUUCAACCACCGAGGGACAAGAAGAGAAGAGUCUGGCUGUUGACGUACGGCUUUGUUAUGCAGAGGUUUGACUUUGCAUGCAGUCUGCCAGUAUGGAGUCGCAGAAGUCCAUGCGUGACAUUACAAGAGCCUGUGCCAGGAGCUGUGUAGUGGGUUCUGUCAGGAAGGGUCCAAUCCUCCUGAUAGAGGGCAACUGGCAGGAACCAUGUGACCAAGGUGACAUGAACCUUUCAUUUUUCGACACAAUUUGUUAUAUCAUCAACCCAACAGAUCAGUAGUUUGGUCCAGAGCAAUUCCUCCACAUCUUCUAAAAAUAUAAUUAAAGUUAUACUGUUAAUAUUUUUAAAGUUGAUCACUUAUCGAAACACUUACAUUUGGUGGGUUUGCACAGAUACAAGGACAGCCUUUAUUGCCUAUUAGGGUUGAUACAAAGGGUAACUGUGACUGUCAGGUCUACAUGUCACUGGAAUCCUGGGAUUUUUUGCACAUAUUGAUUUUACAUGCAGUCAGCGUGAGAAGUUGAAUAUCAAAAAGCAUACAGGAAAAAUAAUUGUAAAGGGACACAACUGCAUUUACAGCAUAUUACAUCAAUCUGAAAAAUAGCACUGGGGUAGUGAAAAAGUCACGUCUUAUUUUCUCCAACAUUUAAGUUCCUGUGAAAAACUGUUGAGUCUGUGACAAUCUGGCAGCCCCAGUGAGCAUGAAUUUUACCCCGUGUUUCUUGAUAAAAGCUCACCUGUCUCUGUUUCAACAAUCCAAUGCACUCAUUGAGAAGUUUUGCCAUCGUACAUGUAAAAAAGGGUGUACCAACAGAAUAUGAUUGAACCGAAGGGGACAGUUUAACACUUACAGAUUGCCAGUGGUUUCAGACAUGGCAAAGAAUGAUGUAGAAAUGAAUAGUUUUAUUCUUUAUGGGUAUGUUGCUUUGGUAGGUCAUAAGGAGGCACCAUUAUUAAUUUCAGUUUGUUUCAUUCCUCUAACUCUUCCAAGAGCUUUGGUGUUAUGAUAUGUCCUAUCAAAUGCCCAGCUUAUAAUUUUGAGCCUUUCGGGUCUUAUGCACCAAGCAUCCAGUCCCCCUAGAAGAAUGACAUAGUCCCAAUGACAUUGCCAAUUGGAGUCUGAGGAAGCUUUAUGGAGCCCAAUGAAGGUGGUGACCACAUUUAAAGUUUUGACAAGCUAACCUCAAAAUCAUCUAAAAAUAGGGAAACAAGAGAAGGUGAGGCAGAUUUGAAACCUCCUAACAAACCUGUCAGUAAACUCAGCUGCUCCCCUAAAUAUGCAUGAACAUCAGCUUUCAUACCAACAAAAGUGACAAGUUGAGAAAAACAUCACCCCCAUUAACAGUUUCAUAAAUAGAGAAAUUACCAAUAGAAACCAAAACAUUUUGAACUCAGGCAUUUUAAAAUGAAGCCUGAUAGGGUUUUGUUGUCUUUUUACAACACUGACUGUUGCUGCUUGGCUUGAGGUCAGUGUUAACAAAAUAAUGCUGAAAAAUAUUUUCAAAAGCUUCCAAACUUUAUAGUUUCAUAUCUGUCAAAUCAAAGUUUUGACUUAAAUAUCAUUUACCUCAGUUGAACCUUAAGUUUUUUAAGUGUGACACAAACUCUUUUUUUUAUGUGUAUUCAUACAUGUUAAAUAAUAAAGAAGGCAAUAUUGUCGGAAGAGACUGCCUGUUAUGUUAGAGUUACGCCAUCAGGCACUAUCUCAAGUUUCUCCCGUUUAUUUUGGCUGUUUUUCGCUGCAUCCUGCAUGUGUGCAUACACGUGUGCACAUAUACGUGCAAAAGGAAGCAACAAAACAACAGUGUCCCCAUAUUCUCAGUGUGAGGGGAAGUGUGAGCGCCUUACUUAGAUGUUUUGUAGCACACACUGUCCUCCUGAAUACAAAACACCUUCUCCCCCUGAGCCCUCACUGCUCUUGGGAGCUGCCACAUUGACCUGACCUUGACUGUCCUAAUGUAUCUGCCGUGCCUCUCUCUCUGGAUGUAUUGCUCUUGCUGUCACUCUGACAAAAUGUGGAUAACACUGUCACUGACACAUCCUCUCAGGAAGGGCAUUCAGGUUCAAGCCCGCCACACUAUGCCCCUCCCCGGCUUCUUAUCAGUGAUAAAACUAAUCCUUUGGCCCCCGCAUAUGGCCUCCUGGCCCCCUGAACCACCAACAGUGUGAGAAAAGGGACAAAUAGAGGGGAGGGUAGGAGCAAAGGAAGAGAGAAAAAAACUGGAAAAAUAGGGAGGAGGGGCAAGAGAACACAAGAAGACACAGAGGUCAGGAAAGAGAAAAACCAGAGCAAAGGGAAAAAAGACAAAAGUUUAAAAAGAGGAGACUCAGAUUUAAAAGUAUGAAGAAGAAGACCAGCUGAUGCACGGACAGAGAGGAGUGGGCCGCAGAGGUGACCCUGGCAAUCUAAUCUGUUUAUAGAUAAGUGUGUUGUUGCCCAUGUGUGAGAAAACAGGGCUCUCCGGGAUGUGUGUGUGACCCACGGAGGUUAAGUGUCUUACGCACAGAGCAAGGGUGAACUCACAGGGACACACAAAACGCAUGAUGGAGCAGAGAGUAGGGGUGGAGGCCAUGGGUUUACCGAAGGGUCCCGCAGUUCAGGACAUAGCGACAGAGAUAGGGGUGUCUAAGAGAGGGGGUAAUUUCCUCUGAAAAAUAACCUGCUGUAUGUCUUACAUUAUCGUCAAAGUGGUCAGAGAAUUCACUUGGUCAGCAAGAGCAAGAGCCGAGGAGGGGAGAUGUCAGGAGGAAGAAGGGGAUGUGCGCAAAAUGUGACCCUGUCAUGUGUCCUGUAACAACUUUUCAUCAAAACAGAGGGGGAAAGCAUAUAUUAUUGCUUAACCUAAAAGAAAAAGUUGGGGGACCAGAAAACUAUAUAAAAACUUUAGGAUAGUCGCUGUGGGUCUCUUUGGAUUGCAGACAGUAUUGAACAAUUUUGCACUUGAAGUAAAAAAAUAAGCUUCACCAUGUCAUACAAUCUGAUGGCGCUUAAAAGAAGAAAUUUGUCAGAUUUUACAAGAGAACAAUGGGCAAUUCAAUGCAUCAAUGAAAGUGCAAAUUCUAGUUAUUAGGAGGUCAUAUGCACUGAAAAAAACCUGUGCCUGUGAUAGCUCACAACUGUAUAUUGCUGUGAUAAAAAGACAUUAAAAUAGAAAACUGAAGUUAUAGCAAAAUUGACUGUGUAUAGCUAUCAUUUGAUUAAAAUGGUUUAUUAAUCAAGCAUAAUGUGGUGUGAUUGGGUUCUAAGAGAAAACCUCCAAAAUACCACUGCCAAUCAGAUGUCCCCACACCCACUGCACCUGUACAAGAAGAGGAGGUGCUCCUGUUCCACAUCACAGACCUGACUCAAUGUGAGUGCAAAAAAACAGAGCAGAGUUCGCAUUAUACAUCUGAGCCUCGUUCAGUUAUGAAAGAUAUAUGUACAUUCUUAUGGUAUUUUCCUAUGAUGUACCAAUUUAUAUAAUGUCCUUUUUACCAUAGCUAAUUCGUACACAGGCACCCUGUUUUGUAUGUCUUCUACACUCAUUUUCCUGAUGUUGUAUGAGCAGAAGCUUUUAACAUGAAUGACAGAUGAUGUGCAAUUCCCCCAAAUAAAGGGGUAAAGGUGUGCACCCUUCACUGAAAUUACUAUGUACUUGUGAGUAUAAGGAGAUGGUGUGACUAAACCACAAAGGAAUCAGAUAGAGACAGUUGCAUAGAUCAUUGAUUCAGGGGGUAUCUGAAGAGGAUAAUCCAGGAGUGUUUUGUCUAUUUAAGCUUAUGACCCUCCUCUUAGUGGACAAAGUUGGUCUCACACACAAACACACAUUUACAGAUGCCCUCAUGCAUACACAAGACACGCAGAGGCUGAACGGAGGUUUCCUGCUUCCUGGCUCCCAAGGCAGCUAAUUACUGAGCUUUCCACACCAACAAAGGAAAGAGACUCUCUCCAUUCAAACAUAUUAAUCCCUCCAUUUACACGCUGCAGCAGAGGCCACUGCAGUGAAGACGAGCAGGAGCUGUUUUUUGCCUUCUGCAUCCGUGUGUGAGAAAAGCAGACAAAACACGUAGCAGGAGUUAACACUGACGGAGUUGAUUACAAGGGGCAGGAGAGGGAAAUGUAAAUAUGUGCAUUCAUUAACCAGAGAAUGCUGCUGCUUUCCAGGGAAAUUCCUCUCCCUGCUGCUUUUUUGAUGAAGACACUUGCUAUUCUGUUCUUGGUUUUUGUUUAUACAUGCAAAACCUCCCCAGAACCUGAAAAAAUCAAAGCAUUUCUUUGUUGAAGUAAAUGCCAGUUUUUGUAUACAUAUGUACUGAUUUCCAAGGUAGAAAAGAUAGGAAAAUUUAAAGGUUUGAUUUCACUGGUAUUAUGACUGCGAGACUUGCAGGUUUUUCCUAAACUGUCCAACUAGAACCAUCUUUGUGUCAUUUCUUCAUUUGCAUAUCCCCAUGUCUGAAUAACCUACCAAAUUUCAGCUGAAAACCACCCCCAUCUCCGCUCCUGAGUCUGUGCAUAAAAAGGGAAUGUCAACAUAUCUCAAUUUUCUUAUGGAGCAACUGAGGUGAACCCAGCAGGACAAAUAGAGCAUUUCAGCA